UAAUACCGCAUGUGCUCUUCGGAGUAAAGCUACGGCGGUUUGGGAACGGCCUGCGCAUGAUUAGUUUGUUGGUGAGGUAAUGGCUCACCAAGACUACGAUCAUUAGCUGGUCUGAGAGGAUGAUCAGCCAGACUGGGACUGAGACACGGCCCAGACUCCUACGGGAGGCAGCAGUAGGGAAUUUUCCACAAUGGGCGAAAGCCUGAUGGAGCAACGCCGCGUGCAGGAUGAAGGCCUUCGGGUUGUAAACUGCUUUUAUAUGUGAAGAAUAUGACGGUAGCAUAUGAAUAAGGAUCGGCUAACUCCGUGCCAGCAGCCGCGGUCAUACGGAGGAUCCAAGCGUUAUCCGGAAUUACUGGGCGUAAAGAGUUGCGUAGGUGGCAUAGUAAGCAGAUAGUGAAAGCGUGUGGCUCAACCAUACUCACAUUAUCUGAACUGCUAAGCUAGAGAACGAGAGAGGUAGAUGGAAUUCCCUGUGUAGGAGUGAAAUCCGUAGAUAUAGGGAGGAACACCGAUGGCGUAGGCAGUCUACUGGCUCGUUUCUGACACUAAGGCACGAAAGCGUGGGUAGCAAACGGGAUUAGAUACCCCGGUAGUCCACGCCGUAAACUAUGGAUGCUAGCUGUAAGAAGUAUCGACCCUUCUUGUAGCGAAGCUAACGCGUUAAGCAUCCCGCCUGUGGAGUACGAGCGCAAGCUUAAAACAUAAAGGAAUUGACGGGGACCCGCACAAGCGGUGGAGCGUGUUGUUUAAUUCGAUGGUAAGCGAAGAACCUUACCCAGGCUUGACAUCCUUGGAAUUUCUCCGAAAGGAGAGAGUGUCUUCGGAAACCA
rnacentral:rRNA from 1 species